rnacentral:rRNA from 1 species
CAGUCGCCGCGGUAAAACGAAGGGUGCAAGCGUUACUCGGAAUUACUGGGCGUAAAGCGUGCGUAGGUGGUGGUUUAAGUCCGUUGUGAAAGCCCUGGGCUCAACCUGGGAAUUGCAGUGGAUACUGGGUCACUAGAGUGUGGUAGAGGAUAGUGGAAUUUCCGGUGUAGCAGUGAAAUGCGUAGAGAUCGGAAGGAACAUCUGUGGCGAAGGCAGCCAUCUGGCCUAACACUGACGCUGAGGUACGAAAGCAUGGGGAGCAAACAGGAUUAGAUACCCCCGUAUCCCUGUCUCUUAUACA